rnacentral:rRNA from 1 species
UGGGGAAUAUUGGACAAUGGGGGAAACCCUGAUCCAGCAAUGCCGCGUGAGUGAAGAAGGCCUUAGGGUUGUAAAGCUCUUUCGCCCGCGAAGAUAAUGACGGUAGCGGGAGAAGAAGCCCCGGCUAACUCCGUGCCAGCAGCCGCGGUAAUACGGAGGGGGCUAGCGUUGUUCGGAAUUACUGGGCGUAAAGCGUGCGUAGGCGGAUGCGCAAGUUGGGGGUGAAAUCCCGGGGCUUAACCUCGGAAUUGCCCUCAAAACCGCACGUCUUGAGACCGAGAGAGGUAAGGGGAAUUCCUAGUGUAGAGGUGAAAUUCGUAGAUAUUAGGAAGAACACCAGUGGCGAAGGCGCCUUACUGGCUCGGUACUGACGCUGAGGUACGAAAGCGUGGGGAGCAAACA